UACGAAGGGGGCUAGCGUUGCUCGGAAUCACUGGGCGUAAAGCGCACGUAGGCGGCUUCUUAAGUCAGGGGUGAAAUCCUGGAGCUCAACUCCAGAACUGCCUUUGAUACUGGGAGGCUCGAGUCCGGGAGAGGUGAGUGGAACUGCGAGUGUAGAGGUGAAAUUCGUAGAUAUUCGCAAGAACACCAGUGGCGACGGCGGCUCACUGGCCCGGUACUGACGCUGAGGUGCUAAAGCGUGGGGAGCAAACAGG
rnacentral:rRNA from 1 species